AUUUAGCUUGUGUCGGUGUAUUGUUGUGUCUUCCAUGGCCACUCAUGUUUGCUCCCCAGUGUCUGUCCUCCAUCAUCAUAAUUUAUGACACCCUCCUGUGAAGAAUGGUGGUCAACACCCAACUGAAAGMAGAACUGAAGCAGAACUGAACAGAGGGGAUGUUAUAAAGCUUCAGCCUUGUCUCACACAGAUGAAGGAGGACUUGGAACCACUCCUGGAAGUCAACCUGGAAAGUCAUCCCUGCUUAGUCACACUAGACUCUCCAGUCUUGCCUGUUCUUACCUGGUCGGUGGGAUCUGUGACUCCUCCUCAAAACCUGCAGAUGGAAAAUCAUUAUGGUUGAUCCAAACCUUCCCGAACCUCUGAAGGAGGAUGAUGGAGGUCCGAAUCUCACCAGAAAACAUUUUCAUUCAAGGUAACCUGAGAUGUGGUGAUGUCUCUGAGGAGGUCGGCAUCCAUCAGCUGGAGCCGAUCGAGCAACAAGCAAGCUGGGGCAAUUUGUCAGCUGCUUUUAUCUCUUAAAGGUACAGGAGUUAUUCUUCAGCAAGUUUCUGUUUUCUGUUUCUUUAACUUUCCUACAAAYGCCAAGUAAGUUUCCAAAAGCAUCAGCCGACGAAGAAGAAUGGGGGAAAUACGAGACAAACAGAGCUGCCGAUCGCCCACCAAGGUUUUCUCUUCAAUUUGUUAUCAGAGUUUGAUAAGAUGGAUUGUUGAUGCUGCUGCAACCUCAGUGCAGACGGACCAUUUCACCUUGUUCAAACUUCUGUAAUGUGGCAGCGCUGCCUCCUGUGAGACAAAAAUAUAUACUUUGAUUUUCUUAUUGAAUAGAUGCAGACAUAAAAAUCAUCAACUUUAAAUUGUAAUUGGAAUGUAAACCAUCUGUUACUUUAUUACCAUUUUUAUGUGUGUAUAAUGUGAAAAAUCAAACCACAAAAAUCAUCCAUAAAGCUGGGGCGAUGUAUUAUACACAGGAGUAAAUUUUGAAAACUUUUCUUCUAAUGUACCAUGAUAAAUUCUAAUAUUUUCUUGUAUAAAACUGGAAAAUUGUGUACCUGUAGAUAAAUCAUCAUCAUUUCUGUCUGUC